AUGCAGGAGGCGGGGAUGUCUGCGCUGUGGAACACCGUGCACGGGUGGUUCACCCCAUGGGUGCUGUUCCUCGUGCUACACCUCAUCGUCGCCACUAUAUUCGUCACCUCCAGGGCCACGUCCUCGGCGGGGAGCGGAGAAGGCGCUCCGGCCGGGGCUGUCGGCGAGAGGAGGAGCCUGUCCCUCGUGGAUUCAAUGGCAAUCGACCGGCCCCACUUCACCGCUCCCGCCCCUGAGGCCCCGGUGACCGGAUUACUGGAUCUGGGACAGCCCGACGAGCAACCGCCGCCGCUCCAGAUGGAGCCGGAGGAUCAGGGUGAGCACGACGCGUUUACAAAAGAGGGUGAGCUGGACGAGCACACGCACAUGGAGAGGAGCAUGUCGGAGGCGGCGGUCGAGGCCGAGCUGCCGCGGCUGCGCAAGCCCGCGAGCGACAAGCCGGCGUUCGCGCACUUCGUGGCCGAGUCGGACACCAAGGAGGUGGAGGCGCGCAGGCGGGCGACGGGGAGGGACGCGGAGCGCCGCCUCCCCCUGGUGGCGGAACCGGAGGAGCCGGCGUCGGAGGUGGAGAUCGAGGAGGCCGGCGGCGAGGUGGACGCGCGCGCUGACGAGUUCAUCAACAGGUUCCACCACCAGCUGAAGAUGCAGCACAUGGACUCAUUCAUGCGCUCCCAGAAGAGGCUCCACCGCCGCCGGGCGACCGUGGUGCCAGAGGCGCGCUAG
rnacentral:rRNA from 1 species